rnacentral:other from 1 species
ACGAUUAUAGAUCAACGUAUUGAUUUAUAAGCAUGGAGAAAUAACGAAUUGCUGUGUGUAGUCUUUGCCCAUCUACCACGAUGGGCUUUUUUUUAA